UGAACGCUGGCGGCAUGCCUUACACAUGCAAGUCGAACGGCAGCACGGACUUCGGUCUGGUGGCGAGUGGCGAACGGGUGAGUAAUGCAUCGGAACGUGCCAUUGAGUGGGGGAUAACGUAGCGAAAGUUGCGCUAAUACCGCAUAUUCUGUGAGCAGGAAAGCAGGGGACCGCAAGGCCUUGCGCUCUUUGAGCGGCCGAUGUCAGAUUAGCUAGUUGGUGAGGUAAAGGCUUACCAAGGCGACGAUCUGUAGCGGGUCUGAGAGGAUGAUCCGCCACACUGGAACUGAGACACGGUCCAGACUCCUACGGGAGGCAGCAGUGGGGAAUUUUGGACAAUGGGGGCAACCCUGAUCCAGCCAUGCCGCGUGAGUGAAG
rnacentral:rRNA from 1 species